UCCGAGUUGACCCCGGCAGUCUCCCAUGAGUCCCCGGCAUAACCCGCUGGCAACAUGGAACGAGGGUUGCGCUCGUUGCGGGACUUAACCCAACAUCUCACGACACGAGCUGACGACAACCAUGCACCACCUGUGAACCCGCCCCAAAGGGGAAACCACAUCUCUGGAUGUUUCCGGUGUAUGUCAAACCCAGGUAAGGUUCUUCGCGUUGCAUCGAAUUAAUCCGCAUGCUCCGCCGCUUGUGCGGGCCCCCGUCAAUUCCUUUGAGUUUUAGCCUUGCGGCCGUACUCCCCAGGCGGGGCGCUUAAUGCGUUAGCUGCGGCACAGAGACCGUGGAAUGGCCCCCACACCUAGCGCCCACCGUUUACGGCGUGGACUAC
rnacentral:misc_RNA from 1 species